rnacentral:rRNA from 1 species
AUUGAACGCUGGCGGCAUGCCUUACACAUGCAAGUCGAACGGCAGCACGGGAGCUUGCUCCUGGUGGCGAGUGGCGAACGGGUGAGUAAUAUAUCGGAACGUACCCUAGAGUGGGGGAUAACGCAGCGAAAGUUGCGCUAAUACCGCAUACGAUCUACGGAUGAAAGUGGGGGAUCGCAAGACCUCAUGCUCAUGGAGCGGCCGAUAUCUGAUUAGCUAGUUGGUGGGUAAAGGCCUACCAAGGCAUCGAUCAGUAGCUGGUCUGAGAGGACGACCAGCCACACUGGAACUGAGACACGGUCCAGACUCCUACGGGAGGCAGCAGU